rnacentral:miRNA from 9 species
CAAUAAAUCACAUUCUUCCCAGA